AAAAGGACAAACAACCUGUGAUUAAACGAAUCGUGCGACAGAUUGAUAAUGUGACAUUAGCUAGGACGAUGCACGUUCGAAUGGCCGGCGAAUGGCCGGCGAAGUAGGUGCUAAAAGGCGGAGUAACCUGCCAGAUGUAAAUAAUAGAACAGAAAGCUCCACCGCAAACACAACCGCCGGUAAUUUGUGUCGCUUGCGGAUUGUGCUCUGGUAUAAAUAGAUAGGGACGGUUCCUAUCUAACAGGCGCACAAGGCGCGACCGUAAAAAGUCUACAGACG
rnacentral:lncRNA from 1 species